GUACAGGCUGAACCAUAGCUCUCUAUGUAGCCCAGGCUAGCCUCAAACUCAGGAACCUCCCUUGUUAGCCUCUUACGGGUGUGAGCCACCAUGCCCGCUUUCUUAUUGAAUGUUUAGAAACAACAGUGCUUUGUUGCUCUUGUGACUGCACCAUAGCAGGUACUGAGCUUGGAGGCAAAAAAAUCCCUAGGGAUUCCGAGAAAGCUUUAUUGACAGGAGGCAACUUUAUUUGGCUCCCUAAGAAUGGGGGCUAAAAAAUAUCCAGAAAGCAAGCCCAGGGGAGGAAAAGAGUCCUGGAAGCAGGAGUGUUCUCAAAUGUUCUCAGGACACUAGGACUUGGGGAGCAAGAACAUUUGGGAGGAAGACUUGGCUAUCCAUGAAAGCAAGUGGCUGCCUAUCUAGCUGUAUCCACUUAGUAAAGCAGGAAACGAGCAGCAUCUAUAGGAUAUUAGCUUGUUUCUGCUACAUAAAUGGAGUGAUUCAGACAAAUUUCACUGAGGGAAACACAGUGGUUUUGAUAGAACAGCUGUAAGCCAUUCGCUAAUCUAAAACUUGGUUGCCUACUAACAGAGCUGCGUCUGACACUGCCCAGGUAAGUGGUCCUGUAGUGACUGGUGGGAACUGGAAAGAAACAGCAAUUGAGCAGCUCCAUUAGCCUAGUAGUUAGCUUGGCUGGUAGAGUGGCUUGCCUAGCAAGCACACACAAGAAAGACCCUGGGUUCAAUAACAGUACCAGGGGGAAAAAACAGGUUCCAGAUCUAACCUCUGCUUUUCAUGGAAAGAAAGCAAACAUGAUGUUUUAAUCAAGAGAGUGGCAAUUCAGGCUAGGGGUGUAGCCCAGCCUGUAGAGUGCUUGUGCAGUGUGCACAGAGACCUGGGACUGAUUCUCUAGUCCAUACAACCCGAGGUGUGUUGGUUCUCUCCUGGAAUCUCAGCACUUAGGAGACACUGGUUAGGUGAAUCUGAAAUUCUAGGCCAGCCUGGGCUACACAGUGAGUUUCAGGCUAGUUUGGGCUAUAUGAUUCCAUAUCAUAUAGGUUGAUAAAUAUGGUUGAUUGAAUAUUAGAGUGAAAUAGAAGGCUGACAGUAUAUAUAAGCCCUGUCAUUUGUCAUGCUGGGAUGCUUGGAAAUAUUCGGAAUCAAAUAGUAACUGGACUACUUACUCAGAAAUGUAGUUCUUAAAAAAGAGAUUAUUUAUUUAUUUAUUUAUUUACUUGCUUACAUUUUGCACGACUGAGUAUUUUUACCUGCAUGAUUGUGUCUAUAUAUUCCUGGUACUUGACCAAGCCAGAAGAGGGUGCCAGACGUGGGCACUGAGAACUGAACCGGGGUCCUCCAAAAGAGCAGAAAGUGCUCUUGACUGCUUAGCCAUCUCUCCAGUCUUAGCCCUGAUCCCUAGCCUCUCUUUCCCCCCCACUAAAAACUGGUUUUACUAUGUAGUUGUAGUGGGCCUGGAACUCAGAGAAAUCCUCCUGUCUCUGUCUCCCUAGUGUUGGAGACAUAACAGGUACUUGUUACCAUGCCAGACGAGUCAGCCAUUCCUGUGAAUUCCUCCAUUUUAUACACUGCCUUACAGCUGAGGGCUUCUUUCCCAGCAGCUCCUGGAAGACAGAGAUCACAUGUCUGGCACACAGAACGAUCACAUUUAAGAGACAAGCAAAAUAAAAAUGGGAGGAAACGCUGAUAAGGUUUCAGCUGUAGCAGAAGGAAAGGGUACUUUGGAAGUGAAUUCAUAUGGGAGACGGUCCCAAAAGGCCUGAGCAAGUAGCUAACUCUUCUGAUGUCGCGGAGAUAAAACACUCGCUCCUCUAGGCCAGUGUGUGGAAACCUGGGAACAGAUCGAAGCCACAUGGAAGGCUGAGUGCGGUUAUUGCAAAGUGUUGAAAAGUCCUGGGCCUUUUCUGAGAUAGUGGCAAAGUGCUGAGGGUUGACAGGCAAGUUCCACCUUGGGAGCAGAGGUCAGAUGUGAGAAGCACAAACAGAAUUCAA